UACGAAGGGGGCUAGCGUUGUUCGGAUUUACUGGGCGUAAAGCGCCCGUAGGCGGAUCGAUCAGUCAGGGGUGAAAUCCCAGAGCUCGACUCUGGAACUGCCUUUGAUACUGUCGAUCUGGAGUAUGGAAGAGGUGAGUGGAAUUCCGAGUGUAGAGGUGAAAUUCGUAGAUAUUCGGAGGAACACCAGUGGCGAAGGCGGCUCACUGGUCCAUUACUGACGCUGAGGUGCGAAAGCGUGGGGAGCAAACAGG
rnacentral:rRNA from 1 species